rnacentral:rRNA from 1 species
AUUGAACGCUGGCGGCAUGCCUUACACAUGCAAGUCGAACGGUAACAGGUCUUCGGAUGCUGACGAGUGGCGAACGGGUGAGUAAUGCAUCGGAACGUGCCCAGUAGUGGGGGAUAGCCCGGCGAAAGCCGGAUUAAUACCGCAUACGACCUGAGGGUGAAAGGGGGGGAUCGCAAGACCUCUCGCUAUUGGAGCGGCCGAUGUCAGAUUAGCUAGUUGGUGGGGUAAAGGCCUACCAAGGCAACGAUCUGUAGUUGGUCUGAGGGGACGACCAGCCACACUGGGACUGAGACACGGCCCAGACUCCUACGGGAGGCAGCAGUGGGGAAUUUUGGACAAUGGGCGCAAGCCUGAUCCAGCAAUGCCGCGUGCAGGAAGAAGGCCUUCGGGUUGCAAACUGCUUUUGUCAGGGAAGAAAUCUUCUGGGUUAAUACCUCGGGAGGAUGACGGUACCUGAAGAAUAAGCACCGGCUAACUACGUGCCAGCAGCCGCCGUAACAC